GCUACGGGAGGCAGCAGUGAGGAAUAUUGGUCAAUGGGCGGAAGCCUGAACCAGCCAAGUCGCGUGAGGGAUUAAGGCCCUGCGGGUCGUAAACCUCUUUUGCCGGGGAGCAGUGGUCCGGACGCGUCCGGACCGGGAGAGUACCCGGAGAAAAAGCAUCGGCUAACUCCGUGCCAGCAGCCGUGGUAGUACGGAGGAUGCGAGCGGUAUCCGGAUUUAUUGGGUUGAAAGGGUGCGUAGGCGUGCAGUUAAGCCGGCGGUCAAAUGUCGGGGCUCAACCCCGGCCGGACGUCGGAACUGGUUGCCUUGAGUGGGCGAGAGGUAUGCGGAAUGCGUGGUGUAGCGGUGAAAUGCAUAGAUAUCACGCAGAACCCCGAUUGCGAAGGCAGCAUACCGGCGCCCUACUGACGCUGAGGCGCGAAAGUGCGGGUAUCGAACAGGAUUAGAUACCCUUGUAGUC
rnacentral:rRNA from 1 species